GUCAGGUGAUGAGAGAAGCUUCCUGAACCACUGUUUCUGAAUUUUUUUUAACCAGAGUAUUUUGUAUUGUUUUGAAUCUUGAAUGUUGCACUGAGACAGUGCAGUGUUUGUAAGGCGAAACAUAGAUUAAACCUGCCAGCUACAGACAUGUCUGUCUUAAAGCUAUUGAAAUAGACCCCUUAGUUGGCACACAGUGAGGUAGCAUUGAUUAUAAUUUUUUUUUUCCAUUUAUGAAACAGUGUUUGAAGAUUCUUUAGUAAUCUGAUGACA
rnacentral:snoRNA from 1 species